UGCGUAGGCGGCUUUCCAGGUCUGAUGUGAAAUCUCACGGCUCAACCGUGAAAUUGCGUUGGAAAACCGGAAAGCUUGAGUGUGCUAGGGGUGUGUGGAACUUCCAGUGGAGCGGUGAAAUGUGUUGAUAUUGGAAGGAACGCCGGUGGCGAAAGCGACACACUGGGGCAUAACUGACGCUGAGGCACGAAAGCUAGGGUAGCGAACG
rnacentral:rRNA from 1 species